AUACGUAGGGGGCGAGCGUUGUCCGGAAUGAUUGGGCGUAAAGGGCGCGUAGGCGGCGCGGUAAGUCUGGAGUGAAAGUCCUGCUUUCAAGGUGGGAAUUGCUUUGGAUACUGCCGCGCUUGAGUGCAGGAGAGGUUAUCGGAAUUCCCGGUGUAGCGGUGAAAUGCGUAGAGAUCGGGAGGAACACCAGUGGCGAAGGCGGGUAACUGGACUGCAACGGACGCUGAGGCGCGAAAGUGUGUGGAGCAAACAGGAUUAGAUACCCUGGUAGUCCACGCUGUAAACGAUGAAUGCUAGGUGUAAGAGGUAUCGACCCCUUUGGUGCCGUAGUCAACACAAUAAGCAUUCCGCCUGGGGAGUACGGCCGCAAGGUGGAAACUCACAUGAAUUGACGGGG
rnacentral:rRNA from 1 species